UGGGGAAUAUUGCACAAUGGACGGAAGUUUGAUGCAGCGACGCCGCGUGGAGGGUGUAGGCCUUCGGUUUGUGAACUCCUUUUUCUCGCGAAAAAGGCACAGUUUUGGCUGUGUUGAUGGUAGUGGAUGAAGAAGCGCCGGCUAACUACGUGCCAGCAGCCGCGGUAAUACGUAGGGCGCGAGCGUUGUCCGGAUUUAUUGGGCGUAAAGAGCUCGUAGGUGGUUCGUCGCGACUGUCGUGAAAGCCAGCAGCUUAACUGUUGGUCUGCGGUGGGUACAGGCGGGAUUGAGUGCGGUAGGGGUGACUGGAAUUCCUGGUGUAGCGGUGGAAUGCGCAGAUAUCAGGAGGAACACCGAUGGCGAAGGCAGGUCACUGGGCCGUUACUGACACUGAGGAGCGAAAGCGUGGGGAGCGAACAGG
rnacentral:rRNA from 1 species